GGGAGCCGCCAUUUUGGGUGCUGAGCUUUAAGUGCCAAGUUCCUUUCACCCGUUUUCAUGCCUGGAUUCAGCCAGGAGGAACAGCACAGCAUGCUGGGCUCUGGAUUUAAAGCUGAGCGUUUACGAGUCAAUUUGCGAUUAGUCAUAAACCGUCUUAAACUAUUGGAGAAAAAAAAAACGGAACUGGCCCAGAAAGCAAGGAAAGAGAUUGCUGACUAUCUGGCUGCUGGGAAGGAUGAACGAGCUCGGAUCCGAGUGGAGCAUAUUAUCCGAGAAGACUACCUUGUGGAGGCCAUGGAAAUUCUGGAGCUGUAUUGUGAUCUGCUGCUGGCUCGGUUUGGUCUCAUCCAGUCUGCGAAGGAACUAGAUUCUGGUCUGGCUGAAUCUGUGUCUACACUGAUAUGGGCUGCUCCUCUGCUCCAGUCAGAAGUGGCUGAGUUGAAAAUAGUUGCUGAUCAGCUCUGUGCCAAGUAUAGCAAGGAAUACGGCAAGUUAUGUAGGACCAACCAGAUUGGAACUGUGAAUGACAGGCUAAUGCACAAACUGAGUGUGGAAGCCCCACCCAAAAUCCUGGUGGAGAGCUACCUGAUUGAAAUUGCUAAGAACUACAAUGUGCCCUAUGAGCCUGACUCUGUGGUCAUGGCAGAAGCUCCUCCUGGGGUAGAGACAGAUCUUAUUGAUGUUGGAUUCACAGAUGAUGUGAAGAAAGGGGGUCCUGGAAGAGGAGGAGGGGGUGGUUUCGCAACACCAGUUGGUGGACCUGAUGGAACAGACUAUGGCUACUCCUCCCAUGCACUAAGAGGUAAAACCAAUCCUGGUCUGAAGAGGGACAAUCUUAUUCUGGCCACAUAA